rnacentral:rRNA from 1 species
AUGGCGCCGACGCCGAUGGCCGGGGACGGCCCGAUCGCCGCGGUGGCCCCGCGCACCCCUCCCCCGCCGUCCGCCUCGGCCGAGGCGUCGGCCUCCGGCUCCGGCUCCGGCGGCGCCGCGGGGUCCGCGGCCGAGGCGCCCGUGCUGAUAUUCGUCUACUUCCACAAGGCGAUCCGCGCGGAGCUGGACAGGCUGCACGCCGCGGCGGUGCGGCUCGCCACGGAGCGCGGCGGGGACGGGGACGCCGCGGCGCUCGACACGCGCUGCCGCUUCCUCUUCUCCGUCUACAGGCACCACUGCGACGCCGAGGACGCGGUUAUCUUUCCAGCACUCGAUAUUCGAGUCAAGAAUGUCGCAGGGACGUAUUCCCUUGAGCACAAAAGGGAAAAUGAUCUCUUUGCCCACCUGUUCUCUCUAUUAAAGCUUGAUGUACAUAGUGAUGAUGGUGUCCGGAGGGAGAUUGCAUCCUGUGCUGGAGCAAUUCGAACAUUUAUAACUCAACAUAUGUUCAAGGAAGAAGAACAGGUCUUCCCAUUGCUGAUCACAAAGUUUUCAUAUGAAGAGCAAGCUGAUUUAGUCUGGCAGUUCAUAUGCAACAUCCCUGUAAACAUGAUGGCAGAUUUUCUUCCAUGGCUUUCAUCUUCUGUUUCACCUGAUGAGCACCAAGAUAUUCUUAACUGCUUACAUAAAAUAGUUCCUCAAGAGAAACUUCUCCAACAGGUUGUAUUUGCAUGGAUAGGAGGGAAAGAAGUAACUGUGGCACACGAUUUCGACAAUUCUUGUUCAAAAGGCGGUUAUAGAUGCGAGGAUAUCUCUCACCAAACAGACAAGCAAAUAUGCUCACACGAGAAUUCUAAAAUUGGAAAGAGGAAGUAUGCAGAAUCUAAUCAUAGUCAGCUUGUAACACAUCCUAUAGAUGAGAUAUUGUAUUGGCACGAUGCUAUCCGGAAAGAAUUGAGUGAUAUAGCAGAGGAGACAAGAAAGAUCCAGCAGUCUGGAGACUUCUCCAAUGUAUCAGCCUUCAAUGUGAGGCUUCAGUUUAUUGCAGAUGUGUGCAUCUUCCACAGUAUUGCCGAGGAUCAAAUUAUAUUUCCUGCAGUUGAUGGUGAAGUGUCCUUUGAGCAGGAGCAUGCUGAACAAGAACAGCGGUUUAACAAAUUUAGAUGUUUAAUUGAAGAAAUCCAAACAGCUGGAGCCAGAUCAACUGCGGUGGAUUUUUACUCCGAGUUAUGUUCACAGGCUGAUCAGAUAAUGGAGGAAAUGGAGAAGCACUUCAACAAUGAGGAAACAAAGGUACUUCCUCAAGCUAGGAUAAAUUUCUCACCAGAGAAACAAAGAGAACUUCUAUAUAGGAGUCUUUGUGUCAUGCCACUGAAGUUAUUGGAGAAGGUUUUACCAUGGUUUGUAGUAAAGAUGGAUGAUGCAAAUGGACAGUCUUUUCUUCAGAAUAUGUUCCUGGCAGCACCUUCCUCUGAAACUGCACUGGUUACUCUUCUCUCCGGCUGGGCAUGCAAAGGUCGUUUGAAGGAUAUAUCCAACUCGGGAAAAUUCAUAUGCUUGCCAUCAGGAGCACAGGGCUGCCCGUUGGAUGGAGAUGAGUUAAAAAGUUGUCAGUCAUUCUGCCCAUGUUCAUUGGCCAGCAACGGAACUUUUUCAGUACCUUUGCAGACAGAAAACUGUUCAAGGCCUGUCAAGCGAGGGAAUCGUGCAGAAUCUAUUACGAACAGAACUCACUGCUCACAAACUACUGACAUUGAAGAGUCUCGAUGUAGCAAGAAACCUUGCCACAUUCCUGGGUUAAGAGUGGAAAGUAGCAACUUUGGUGCUGAUUUAUUUACUUCUGUAAACUCUUUUCGCUCACUGUCUUCCAGUUAUUCUGCACCUUCUUUACACUCAAGUCUUUUUUCAUGGGAGACGGACACGACAUUUUCCAGCCCAGAUAGCAUCUCUAGGCCAAUUGAUGCAAUAUUCAAAUUCCAUAAGGCAAUUCGCAAAGAUUUAGAAUACUUAGAUGUUGAAUCUGGAAAUCUCAUUGAUGGAGAUGAAUCUUGCCUUCGCCAGUUCGUCGGAAGAUUUCGCCUACUGUGGGGUCUUUACAGAGCACAUAGCAAUGCUGAAGAUGACAUUGUCUUCCCUGCUCUUGAAUCGAAAGAUGCACUACAUAAUGUCAGUCACUCAUACACCCUUGAUCACAAACAGGAAGAAGAAUUAUUUAAAGAUAUAUCAACCAUACUGCUUGAACUUUCACAUUUACGUGAUGAUUUGGCUCACCCCAUUGAUGAAAUUGAUGAAGCUGGAAAAGGCCAUAUUUGUUCAUACAGUGAGAUUGAUUGGUCCAGAAAGCAUAAUGAACUUUUGACAAAGCUUCAAGGAAUGUGCAAGUCUAUCCGGUUUACCCUGUCUAAUCACGUGCAUAGAGAAGAACUUGAGUUGUGGCCACUGUUUGAUAAACAUUUCUCUGUGGAUGACCAAGAUAAGAUUGUAGGUCGUAUAAUUGGAUCUACAGGAGCUGAGGUUCUGCAGUCAAUGAUACCUUGGGUUACAUCGGCACUUAGUCUAGAUGAACAGAACAAGAUGAUGGAUACAUGGAAGCAGGCAACGAAGAAUACAAUGUUUGAUGAAUGGCUAAACGAAUGGUGGAAGAGUUCACCAAAUUCAUCUGACCCCUCAAAUGAGGCCUCCUCCUCCCUUUCUGAAGAAAGCCAAGAAAACCUUGACCAGAGUGAUCAGAUGUUCAAGCCUGGUUGGAAGGACAUUUUCCGAAUGAAUCAAAGUGAGCUCGAGGCUGAGAUACGAAAGGUUUCUCAAGAUUCUAGUCUUGAUCCAAGGAGGAAAGCAUAUCUAAUCCAAAAUCUCAUGACGAGCCGCUGGAUAGCUGCUCAGCAGAAAUCACCACAACCAAGAUCAGAAGAUCAUAAUGGAUCUACUGUAAUACCUGGAUGUUUUCCUUCUUAUCGAGAUCCAGAGAAACAAAUAUUGGGUUGUGAGCAUUACAAAAGAAACUGCAAGCUUGUUGCUGCCUGCUGCAAUAAGCUGUUCACAUGCAGGUUCUGUCAUGAUAAAGUUAGUGAUCAUACAAUGGAGAGGAAAGCAACUUUGGAGAUGAUGUGCAUGUCAUGUAUGAAAGUUCAGCCAGUUGGUCCAAAUUGCCAAAGUCCUUCUUGCAAUGGGCUAUCAAUGGCAAAAUAUUAUUGCAGUAUAUGCAAGUUUUUUGAUGAUGAAAGGAGUGUGUAUCAUUGCCCUUUUUGCAAUUUGUGUCGUCUUGGGGAAGGAUUGGGCACCGACUUCUUCCACUGCAUGAAAUGCAACUGUUGCCUCGGCUUGAAACUGAAAGAACACAAAUGUCGGGAGAAGAUGCUCGAGAUGAAUUGUCCAAUCUGUUGCGACUUCCUAUUCACGUCGAGUGCAGCAGUUAGAGGUCUUCCAUGUGGGCAUUUCAUGCAUUCAGCAUGCUUUCAGGCAUACACUUGCAGUCACUAUACCUGUCCAAUCUGCAGCAAAUCCUUGGGAGAUAUGACGGUGUACUUUGGAAUGCUCGACGGCUUGCUGGCUGCGGAAGAGCUUCCUGAGGAAUACCGGAACCGGUGCCAGGAUAUACUCUGUAACGACUGCGGAAGAAAAGGGCUUUCCCGGUUCCACUGGCUGUAUCACAAAUGCGGCGCCUGCGGCUCGUACAACACCAGAGUUAUCAAGACCGAGGCACCAGAUUGUUCCACGCCGAAUUAA